GAUGAAGAACGUAGCAAAAUGCGAUAAGUAAUGUGAAUUGCAGAAUUCAGUGAAUCAUCGGAUCUUUGAACGCACAUUGCGCCCGCCAGUAUUCUGGCGGGCAUGCCUGUUCGAGCGUCAUUUCAACCCUCAAGCACAGCUUGGUGUUGGGACUCGCGUUAAUUCGCGUUCCCCAAAUUGAUUGGCGGUCACGUCGAGCUUCCAUAGCGUAGUAGUAAAACCCUCGUUACUGGUAAUCGUCGCGGCCACGCCGUUAAACCCCAACUUCUGAAUGUUGACCUCGGAUCAGGUAGGAAUACCCGCUGAACUUAAGCAUAUCAAUAAGCGGAGGA
rnacentral:misc_RNA from 1 species